CUGGAUGCCACACUGAGACCUCCCU
rnacentral:piRNA from 1 species